rnacentral:rRNA from 1 species
UCCUGGCUCAGAUUGAACGCUGGCGGCAUGCUUUACACAUGCAAGUCGAACGGCAGCACGAAAGAGCUUGCUCUUUUGGUGGCGAGUGGCGAACGGGUGAGUAAUACAUUGGAACGUACCGAGUAAUGGGGGAUAACUGUCCGAAAGGAUGGCUAAUACCGCAUACGCUCUGAGGAGGAAAGCGGGGGACCUUCGGGCCUCGCGUUAUUCGAGCGGCCAAUGUCUGAUUAGCUAGUUGGUGGGGUAAAGGCCUACCAAGGCGACGAUCAGUAGUGGGUCUGAGAGGAUGAUCCGCCACACUGGGACUGAGACACGGCCCAGACUCCUACGGGAGGCAGCAGUGGGGAAUUUUGGACAAUGGGCGAAAGCCUGAUCCAGCCAUGCCGCGUGUCUGAAGAAGGCCUUCGGGUUGUAAAGGACUUUUGUCAGGGAAGAAAGGGUUUGGGUUAAUACCCUGAGCUUAUGACG